UUAUCUACACGAUUUUUAAAGAUAGUAACAGCACAAUUGCUGAUAUUUCUGCGGCAUAGAAAUUUCUUAAGAAGAACAGCAUAUCUCGAUGGAAUAUCUUCAUAGAAAUAGUUCCGUAUUGCAGACUAUCAGUAGCUUGUCACUUUCCGCCUCUCGAUUAUGCGGUAUAUCGAUUGCAUAAGCAAUCACGUAUCUAGAGUAUGUUCCGCAUCCGAAGCAGCAUAUAAUU